AUAAGGUAGAGAAAAUAAUGUCU
rnacentral:miRNA from 1 species